CUGCCCUCCAGCCCGGCUGGUGUGUUGGGCCCCGCCCCCCUUCCCGGGGGGGCGGGCCCGAAAGGCAGCGGCGGCACCGCGUCCGGUCCUCGAGCGUAUGGGGCUUUGUCACCCGCUCUUGUAGGCCCGGCCGGCGCCAGCCGACCCCCUCAAUCUAUUUUUUCAGG
rnacentral:misc_RNA from 1 species